UAAGACAGAGGGUGCGAACGUUGCUCGGAAUUACUGGGCGUAAAGCGUGUGUAGGCGGCCACGCAAGUCGGAUGUGAAAGCCCUGGGCUCAACCCAGGAAGUGCACCCGAUACUGCGACGGCUCGAGUACCGGAGAGGUUGGUGGAAUUCUCGGUGUAGAGGUGAAAUUCGUAGAUAUCGAGAGGAACACCGGUGGCGAAGGCGGCCAACUGGACGAGUACUGACGCUGAGACACGAAAGCGUGGGGAGCAAACAGGAUUAGAUACCCUGGUAGUCCACGCCGUAAACGAUGGAUGCUAGGUGUCGCGGGCUUUGACUCCUGCGGUGCCGUAGCCAACGCAUUAAGCAUCCCGCCUGGGAAGUACGGCCGCAAGGCU
rnacentral:rRNA from 1 species